UGACAGAGUUAGGGAGGGAGUGACUAGUGACAGAGGGAGGGAUGGGGUGACUAGUGACAGUCACCACCUCCCUCACUCUGUCACUAGUCACUCCCUCCCUCUGUCACUAGUCACUCUCUCCCUCAUUCUGUCACU
rnacentral:miRNA from 1 species